rnacentral:rRNA from 1 species
AACACGACUCUCGACUUCGGAUNNCUUGSUCUAAGCAUCGAUGAAGAACGUAGCNNNNUGCGAUACUUGGUGUGAAUUGCAAAAUCCCGUGAACCAUCGAKUCUUUGAACGCAAUUUGCGCCCCAUGCCGUUAGGCCGAGGGCACGCCUGCCUGGGUGUCACCC